rnacentral:rRNA from 1 species
CUGCUGCCUCCCGUAGGAGUCUGGUCCGUGUCUCAGUACCAGUGUGGGGGACCUUCCUCUCAGGACCCCUACGCAUCGUCGCCUUGGUGGGCCGUUACCCCGCCAACUAGCUAAUGCGCCGCAUGCCCAUCCGUCUCCGAUAUUCUUUCAAAACCAGACGAUGCCGUCCAGCUUCAUACGGGGUAUUAGACGCCGUUUCCGACGAUUAUCCCCCUGAGACGGGCAGGUUGCAUACGUGUUACUCACCCGUGCGCCGGUCGCCGG